rnacentral:lncRNA from 1 species
GAAAAUAAAUAUUAUGCUUUUAUAAAGUGCUAUGUUUAAUGUAAUGUGUUGCAAGCUAUUUUGUAUUCAAGUAUUGAUGUAGUUGACAAGGGGAGACCAUGUCUUGCAAUAAAUCGUAACAAUACUUGAUUGUUAGUCAUGUGUAGAUUACAUCAUACUUAUAUACAUGUCGAGUACAACUACUUUUUACAUGACUUGGAUGCACAAUUAUCAUGUUCAUGAUGUUUCAUAAUGCUCAUUACAAGAAAAAAAUCGCUUUUAGUUUAAAAAAAAAAUUGAAGUGGGGGAAAUAUUUUUGUGUGGUUUUGAUGAAAUUCAUUGUCAAAGGGGGAG